CACGUAGGGCGCAAGCGUUGUCCGGAAUUAUUGGGCGUAAAGGGCUCGUAGGCGGUCUGUCGCGUCUGCUGUGAAAACUCAGGGCUUAACUCUGAGCUUGCAGUGGGUACGGGCAGACUAGAGUGCGGUAGGGGAGACUGGAAUUCCUGGUGUAGCGGUGAAAUGCGCAGAUAUCAGGAGGAACACCGGUGGCGAAGGCGGGUCUCUGGGCCGUAACUGACGCUGAGGAGCGAAAGCAUGGGGAGCGAACAGG
rnacentral:rRNA from 1 species